rnacentral:RNase_P_RNA from 1 species
GGAGUGGACUGGAGGAUCGCGGCGCGAACGCGUCGAGGAAAGUCCGAACUCUCACGGGCAGCAGGCUGGCUAACGGCCAGGCGCGGCGACGCGACGGAAAGUGCAACAGAGAAUAGACCGCCGAUCGCCUCGGGCAUCGAAAGGUGUUCCGAGGAGGAGGCAAGGGUGAAACGGUGCGGUAAGAGCGCACCGCGUCCCACGCGAGUGGGUACGGCACGGCAAACCCCCUGCGGAGCAAGACCAAAUAGGGAAGUCAUGGAGCCGCCCGUCUCCGUUAUGAGCUUCCGGGUAGGUUGCUUGACCACCGCGGCAACGCGCGUGGCAGACGAAUGAUCUUCAUCCUCGCUUCGGCGGGGAAACAGAAUUCGGCUUACAGGUCCACUCCACAC